AUUGAACGCUGGCGGUAGGCCUAACACAUGCAAGUCGAACGCGAAAGUCCUUCGGAUGAGUAGAGUGGCGGACGGGUGAGUAACGCGUAGGAAUCUAUCCUGUAGUGGGGGAUAACGUUUCGAAAGGAACGCUAAUACCGCAUACGCCCCAAGGGGGAAAGCGGGGAUCUUCGGACCUCGUGCUAUAGGAGGAGCCUGCGUCGGAUUAGCUAGUUGGUGAGGUAAAGGCUCACCAAGGCGACGAUCCGUAGCUGGUCUGAGAGGAUGAUCAGCCACACCGGAACUGAGACACGGUCCGGACUCCUACGGGAGGCAGCAGUGGGGAAUAUUGCGCAAUGGGCGAAAGCCUGACGCAGCCCAUACCGCGUGUGUGAAGAAGGCC
rnacentral:rRNA from 1 species